AUGUGACCUCAAAUCAGGUAGGACUACCCGCUGAACUUAAGCAUAUCAAUAAGCGGAGGAAAAGAAACUAACAAGGAUUCCCCUAGUAACUGCGAGUGAAGCGGGAAAAGCUCAAAUUUAAAAUCUGGCAGUCUUUUGGCUGUCCGAGUUGUAAUCUAGAGAAGUGCUAUCCGCGCUGGACC
rnacentral:rRNA from 1 species